rnacentral:rRNA from 1 species
GACGAACGCUGGCGGCGUGCUUAACACAUGCAAGUCGAACGGAAAGGCCCUGCUUUUGUGGGGUGCUCGAGUGGCGAACGGGUGAGUAACACGUGAGUAACCUGCCCUUGACUUUGGGAUAACUUCAGGAAACUGGGGCUAAUACCGGAUAGGAGCUCCUGCUGCAUGGUGGGGGUUGGAAAGUUUCGGCGGUUGGGGAUGGACUCGCGGCUUAUCAGCUUGUUGGUGGGGUAGUGGCUUACCAAGGCUUUGACGGGUAGCCGGCCUGAGAGGGUGACCGGCCACAUUGGGACUGAGAUACGGCACAGACUCCUACGGGAGGCAGCAGUGGGGAAUAUUGCACAAUGGGCGGAAGCCUGAUGCAGCAACGCCGCGUGCGGGAUGACGGCAUUCGGGUUGUAAACCGAUUUCGCCUGUGACGAAGCGUGAGUGACGGUAAUGGGUAAAGAAGCACCGGCUAACUACGUG